rnacentral:rRNA from 1 species
UACGGGGGGGGCAAGGCGUUGUUCGGAAUUACUGGGCGUAAAGGGGCUCGUAGGUGGUCAACUAAGUCUAUACGUGAAAUCCCUACGGCUUAACCGGGAACUGCGCCUGAUACUGGUUUGACUUGAAGUUUGGGAGAGGGGACGCGGAAGUUCCGAGGUGUAGCGGUGAAAGUGACGUAGAUAGUCUGGGAGGAACACCGGUGGCGAAGGCGGCGAGUCCGUCGGACCC